CGGGAGGCAGCAGUGGGGAAUCUUCCGCAAUGGGCGAAAGCCUGACGGAGUGACGCCGCGUGGGGGACGAAGGCCUUCGGGUCGUAAACCCCUGUCAGAGGGAAAGAUGGGUGUCGGCGUGCACAGCGCCGGCAUCUGACGGUACCUUCAGAGGAAGCCCCGGCCAACUCUGUGCCAGCAGCCGCGGUAAGACAGAGGGGGCAAGCGUUGCUCGGAAUUACUGGGCGUAAAGGGCGUGUAGGCGGAGCGGCAAGUCGGUCGUGAAACCUCCGGCUCAACUGGAGAACGUCGAUCGAUACUGCCGCCCUUGAGGGUAGCAGAGGAGACUGGAAUUCCCGGUGUAGCGGUGAAAUGUGUAGAGAUCGGGAGGAACACCGGUGGCGAAGGCGGGUCUCUGGGCUACUCCUGACGCUGAGGCGCGAAAGCGUGGGGAGCAAACGGGAUUAGAUACCCCGGUAGUCCACGCUGUAAACGAUGGACACUAGGUGUGGGGGGGGUUUAGACCUCUCCGUGCCGCCAGUAACGCAUUAAGUGCCCCGCCUGGGGAGUACGGCCGCAAGGUUGAAACUCAAAUGAAUUGACGG
rnacentral:rRNA from 1 species